rnacentral:rRNA from 1 species
GACGAACGCUGGCGGCGUGCCUAAUACAUGCAAGUCGAACGAGAGCGACCGGUGCUUGCACUGGUCAAUCUAGUGGCGAACGGGUGAGUAACACGUGGGUAACCUGCCCAUCAGAGGGGGAUAACAUCCGGAAACGGAUGCUAAAACCGCAUAGGUCUUCGAACCGCAUGGUUUGAAGAGGAAAAGAGGCGCAAGCUUCUGCUGAUGGUUGAACCCGCGGUGCAUUAGCUAGUUGGUGAGGUAACGGCUCACCAAGGCCGUGAUGCAUAGCCGACCUGAGAGGGUGAUCGGCCACAUUGGGACUGAGACACGGCCCAAACUCCUACGGGAGGCAGCAGUAGGGAAUCUUCCGCAAUGGACGCAAGUCUGACGGAGCAACGCCGCGUGAGUGAAGAAGGUUUUCGGAUCGUAAAACUCUGUUGUUAGAGAAGAACAAGUGCUAGAGUAACUGUUAGCGCCUUGACGGUAUCUAACCAGAAAGCCACGGCUAACUACGUG